AUUCCGUAAUGAGGGAAUCUUCGUAAUAGUUAUUUAAACCUUUCCCACACCUCAUACAAGUACUCAUCAUCCAAAUGUUGGAAGGUAGUAAUCUCAUUCCUCAACUU
rnacentral:snoRNA from 1 species